rnacentral:tRNA from 1 species
GCCUAGGUAGCUUGGAGAUUAGAGCGCCCGCCUUGUAAGCGCUAGGUCGCGGGUUCGAUUCUCGCCCCUAGCA